CCUAGCCCACCCAUCCCUUGUAGCUUUCUGCAAUUGGCAUCCUCAACCCUCACCUCAUCCCCAAAGCGGUAAUUUCUUCAUUCUCAUCCUCCAUCCGAGACUACAUAGUUGGAAAGACGCUCCACUUUCAUUCGACAUUGUUGAUCUAAUCGAAGAUAUUCUUAUGGAGAAUCCUUCACAUCACUCAAAUAGUUCAAGUUCAUCAUCAUCAAGUGAAGAUGAAGAUACAAAGUUAGAAGUGACAAGAAUUUUUUUUAAAAAAAAGAUUGGUUGUGUUGUUGCUCAAAUUAUUAAGUGACUCAUCCAUUAAUAAGGAACGAGUCUCUACUUCAUCAUUUAUAGGUUCACUUUUCAUUCAAGAGCUUUUAAAUGGUUCAUCUAGCACAUGUUAUGAACUAAUGCGGAUGGAAAAACAUGGAUUUAUUUCUUUAUGUCACAUGUUUCGAGAAA